AGCGAACGCUGGCGGCAGGCUUAACACAUGCAAGUCGAGCGGGAAUCCUCGUGGUGUCUGCGGCAGUCGGGUGAGUAACGCGUGGGAAAGUGCCCUUUGGUUUGGCAUAACCCAGGGAAACUCGAGAUAAUACCGGAUACGAGCGAGAGUAGAAAGGGCUAUCUGCUGAGGGAUCGGGCCGCGUCUGAUUAGUUAGUUGGUGAGGUCAUGGCUCACCAAGGCGACGAUGAGUAGCUGGUUUGGGAGGAUGAUCAGCCACGCUUGGACUGAGACACGGCCCAGACUGCGACGGAGGGCAGCAGUAGAGAAUAUUGUGCGAUGAAGGCAACCCUAAUCCAGCCGUGCCGCGUGUGAGAUGACUGCCUUAGUGUUGUAAAUCUCUUUGCGACGAGGCGAGAAUGACGGUACCGGGUAAAUAAGCCCCGGCUAACUACGUG
rnacentral:rRNA from 1 species